rnacentral:hammerhead_ribozyme from 1 species
AUCCAGCUGACGAGUCCCAAAUAGGACAAAACAUGCGUCAAGGAU